AGAUCGAACCAUAGAGUUUGAUCGUGGCUCAGAUUGAACGCUGGCGGCAUGCCUUACACAUGCAAGUCGAACGGUAACGCGGGGGCAACCCUGGCGACGAGUGGCGAACGGGUGAGUAAUACAUCGGAACGUACCUGGUAGUGGGGGAUAGCCCGGCGAAAGCCGGAUUAAUACCGCAUACGCACCACGGUGGAAAGCGGGGGACCGCAAGGCCUCGCGCUAUCAGAGCGGCCGAUGGCAGAUUAGCUAGUUGGUGGGGUAAAAGCCUACCAAGGCGACGAUCUGUAGCUGGUCUGAGAGGACGACCAGCCACACUGGGACUGAGACACGGCCCAGACUCCUACGGGAGGCAGCAGUGGGGAAUUUUGGACAAUGGGGGAAACCCUGAUCCAGCAAUGCCGCGUGUGUGAAGAAGGCCUUCGGGUUGUAAAGCACUUUUGUCAGGAACGAAACGGUGGGGGCUAAUACCCUCUGCUAAUGACGGUACC
rnacentral:rRNA from 1 species